UACGAAGGGGGCGAGCGUUGUUCGGAAUUAUUGGGUUUAAAGGGUCCGCAGGCGGAAUUAUAAGUCAGUGGUGAAAUCUCGAUGCUCAACAUCGAAACUGCCAUUGAUACUGUAGUUCUUGAAUAUAGUCGGAGUAGGCGGAAUGUGUAGUGUAGCGGUGAAAUGCUUAGAUAUUACACAGAACACCGAUAGCGAAGGCAGCUUACUAGGUUAUAAUUGACGCUCAUGUGCGAAAGUGUGGGUAGCGAACAGG
rnacentral:rRNA from 1 species